GUAGAUAGAAGGCUUUCGGGUCGUAAAACUCUCGUUGUUAGGGAAGAACAAGUACGAGAGUAACUGCUCGUACCUUGACGGUACCUAACCAGAAAGCCACGGCUAACUACGUGCCAGCAGCCGCGGUAAUACGUAGGUGGCAAGCGUUAUCCGGAAUUAUUGGGCGUAAAGCGCGCGCAGGCGGUUUCUUAAGUCUGAUGUGAAAGCCCACGGCUCAACCGUGGAGGGUCAUUGGAAACUGGGGAACUUGAGUGCAAAAAAAAAAAGCGGAAUUCCACGUGUAGCGGUGAAAUGCGUAGAGAUGUGGAGGAACACCAGUGGCGAAGGCGGUUUUUUGGUCUGUAACUGACGCUGAGGCGCGAAAGCGGGGGGAGCAAACAGGAUUACAUACCCUGGUAUUCCACGCCGAAAACGAUGAAGGCUAC
rnacentral:rRNA from 1 species